CCUACGGGAGGCAGCAGUGAGGAAUAUUGGUCAAUGGGCGAGAGCCUGAACCAGCCAAGUCGCGUGAAGGAUGACGGCCCUACGGGUUGUAAACUUCUUUUGUCAGGGAGCAAUUGGGUCCACGCGUGGGCUUAGCGAGAGUACCUGAAGAAAAAGCAUCGGCUAACUCCGUGCCAGCAGCCGCGGUAAUACGGAGGAUCCGAGCGUUAUCCGGAUUUAUUGGGUUUAAAGGGUGCGUAGGCGGCCUUUUAAGUCAGCGGUGAAAGUCUGUGGCUCAACCAUAGAAUUGCCGUUGAAACUGGGAGGCUUGAGUAUGUUUGAGGCAGGCGGAAUGCGUGGUGUAGCGGUGAAAUGCUUAGAUAUCACGCAGAACCCCGAUUGCGAAGGCAGCCUGCCAAGCCAUGACUGACGCUGAUGCACGAAAGCGUGGGGAUCAAACAGGAUUAGAUACCCCUGUAGUC
rnacentral:rRNA from 1 species